rnacentral:lncRNA from 1 species
CUUUCUUUCUCUUUUGUGUAUUUUAAAUUUGCCAUGGUUGACCUGCCAUGAACUUCUUAACUAGAAAACAAAAGAAGAAGUACUUUGCACCUGGAUAUAAAAUUCUGCGUCUCUUGAUAAUGUCGCAAUAUGCCAGUCUCCUACAAAAGGCCAGCUUGUUGAUGCUGAGUUACAUUUCCUAACCGCAGAACCACGGACUUGUCAACAUAUCCUGUUCCAAAUGACUGGAUUAAAAGAAUGCUGAAGAGAUUUGUCAUUUUGAUGUUCUCAACUAUGGUAGGUAGCUAUAUGAAGGUUCUUUUCAUAAUUUGAAAUGGUUUUGUUUAGUCAGGCUCUUAAUAAAAUGAAGUGCAUUUUGUGUGAAUUUAUGAACGUUUGCAGCCUAAGCUGCUUUUGCCUGCCUCCUUGAUUUUGGCUCUACUUGGCUCCUUUUAUUGGUUUUUGGCAAGUUGCUGGGGGCAUAUGUUUUGCACUUUGCUUGCCUGAUUUGUGAGAUUCUGCUGACAUCUAGGAAAAUGCCACAAAAACCUGUUGCUCAUAUCCAAGCUUAUGUGUUUUAUGGCAAAUCCACAGAGCUCAAGUUUCUUGACAACAAGUCUUAUUUAUGGAGAAACAAACACAGGCAAUAUUUUGUGGGUCUAUAACGCUCUCUUUCUGGGAGUAACUUUUGGCAUUUCUUUGCAAAGGGGCAGUUUUUUGAAUAUCUCAUCUUUCAUGUGUGAUGGAGAAAGUGUCACUACUGCUGCUGCUUGCUACCAUUUAUUGAGUACAUUUGGUGAGAAAUAUGCAUUGACUUGUUACCAGAAAACUGCAAGAGAGAUGCUACUGUUCCCAUUCUGAAGAUGAAGAGACUGAGGUUUAAUGAUGUUAAGCAACUUUCUCCAAUUUUUAUAAAGCAGUGAAGCCAAGAUUUAAACUUAAUUCUUUGUCACUUAAAUUCAUGGAUUUUGCAAAAGAGAUCUGAGAAAUAAAUAUUACCCUUGAUAUUGAGUAAAGGAAAUUUUGUUUUAUGAUUUGCAUUCCAUUGAAUAACAAUUAUCAAACCAUUUAGACAAUUAUUAAACAAUUAUUGGUAACAUAGAGAUACAGUAAAGGCUAAGAUGUUGUUCCUAUUCUUUAAGGAUUCAUAGAUCAGAGGUAUGGUUUUUUUCAAUUGGAGAUACUUUUGCCACUCCAGAAAACAUUUUGUAAGGUCUGGAGCCAUUUUUGUUUGAUGUUUUAAUUGGGUAAAUGUGUGUGGAGUUAUUGGCACCUGUUGGGUUAGAGACCAGGGAUGCUGCUUAACAACCUGUAAUACACAGACAGCUGUCCAGAAUGUUCAUAGUGCUGAGGUUGAGACACCUGGGUGAAAAAUUAAUCAAAACACAGGAAACAUGUUAGAGUCAUGCUGCAUCUUCAAUGAUGGUCGAUUGUAUUAUUUGUUCAAACAUUUGCUGAUGCUCCCUAUUGGGGUCUUCCAUGUGGAAGAAUUACAUCUGCAAUCCCACUAAUGCCAGGCUUGGCCAUUGGACUUUCUUUGACCAGCGAAAUACAGGUGGACUCUUACAGAGUUAUCAUUCUUUUCCUUUGUUUACAAGAUCAUCAGGUUCCAGGGAGGGCCUUCUUCACCUUGGAUUGCCACCAGAGACAAUCUUACUGAAAGAAUGUAUUAGGAGUUUCACAGGUGGAGGGGGGGAAUCUCCACUCAGGAUCAGUGGGGAACUUGAUGUACAUGAAGAAAAAGAAUUUCAGCACCUGUCAGCCUAGGUGUAGACAGAAUUAUUUGGGAAAGCAAUGCACUUUCAAGGGAGAAUGCAGGUUAUCUUAAGGAAGAAACACAUUUUCAGUGUUCAUUGAUCCUCUUUUAAAGGAUACUCAGCGAGAGAUGGGCAUGGAAAGGUAUGUGGAGUUGACAUCAAUUUGGUAAUGAUAAGACAGUUUAUGGUUAUCUGGUUGUUCUCAGGAUCCUUAGGCUGAUGAGUUCUCUAUUAACUGAUUGAUAGAUAAUGCUGGAAAGUUCCCUAAAUUAUAGGUUUCUUACAAUAUAUCUAUCCUUGCUUAAUCUAUUUAUUGGUGGCUUAAUUAACAUUGCACAAGGUAUUAUCAUAAAUGGGUGAAUUUCUGGUUAACUCUAAGAUUUACAUAUUUCCCAGAAAUUUGGGAGUGACAAACCUGGAAGAGACUGGCUUAGGGAGUGACAGAGCUACAAAGGCAUAUGGAACCUGAAGUUAGAAUUUCAUUUCCUUGUUCUUCUUUAUGUCUCCUUUCAACCUUUUUUUCUUUCUUUCUUUUUAAAUUUCUUCUAUCCUGCCUCAAAUGAAUACAACAUGGAGGAAAGAUCCAGCCAACUCCAAAAGAACUGAUAUUAGAAACAAGAAAUAAUCCUUUGUUGAAAGCCACUGCUAUUUUGAGAUUGUGCCUAUGGCAUAAUUUAGUGCAUGCUGACCAAUACUUUCAUAGUCAUUAUUUCAGUGGAUGAAGAUGGGGUGGAAUUGUAAAAGAAAACCUCCCAGUAGCAGGAAAGUCUGAGGCUGAUCUAUACCUGUGGCAAAGGUUGGGCUUUAAUUUUAUGUGUGGGAACUUUAUUAGGGAUGAGAAAGAAAAUUAAUCUGAGAACAGAAGGGAUAAUUAUUUACAAAGGGACAGGUUCAGGAGGUAGGAAAACCAGUUAGACUAUGGUAAUAAUAGUCCUAAUGAAAGAACCAAGAGCCACCACAUGGGCAUAGUCUGUAUAACUGAAAAGUUGGAGGCUUAUGCAAGAAUGAUUGCGAAAGAAAAAAAAUGCCAUGAAAAUUUACCUUGUGCUAAUUCAACGAUAAUAGCAAGAUUUCAAGAGGGAUUAUUUUGGAAGAUGGUGUCACACAAGAACUUACUUUGGACUCAAUAUGAUAAAUCCUUUCUGGGCUAUCCAGUGGGAAAUGUUCAGAGGCAAGUGACUGUGAGGAAUUAAAAAACGGGAAUCUUGGUGUGACUUACAUAUUUGGGCAUCAUCUGUGUAAAGGUGCAAUUAGUUUAUUUAUUUAUUUUUUAAAUACACAAUAGUGGAAUGCUAAGGGUGCAAUUUGGACAUUAUGUAGGUAGAGUGACUGGAAUAGAAACAGAAGGAUAAAGUUGGAGUUUGGGUGAAGAAUAAACAUGAAGAGAGAUAUGUCAGGCACUUCCGUGGAGAAUACUGUCAUAGCUGGCUGGUGAGGAGCUGUCUGGAGCUUUCAGAGGUAAUUAAGAGUGUUAAGAGAGCCAAUUAAUGCCUAUUACUUGUUUAAUGGCAAAUAGGUACCUUAGUGCCUCUGAUAUUUCACUGAAGCAGUUAAGCAUUGGUUUUAAAAAAAGCUGCUUACAGUUAUAAGGUCAGGAGUUUAUAAAAACUCAUAAACAGAAUGUAAGUUCAAAGUUUUCCUCAAUUAAAAAAGGAAGGUCAGAAUAACAGUAACAAGUACUUAACAGAAAGAAAAAAUCAUUUAUAAUUGAAAGGUUAUGGUUUUAAUCGUUGUUAUGCCUACCAGUUUGAAAUGAGUGUACUACCUUCUUUCUUUAUUAGUUGUGUAUUUAUGUCAAAUCAUUCUUCUUUAGAUCAUGACCUAUUCGUCUUCCUUCCCAGUUUCUGGACCUUGGAGACUCCUAACUAGCAGAUGUUCACAUCCAUAACUGAAGGACGGUGCUGCUUUCUGUCUGUUCCUUCCCCAUCUCCCAGGGCUUACAGAUAAAAUGCCCAUUACUUUGGAAGUUUUGCCAAGGUCUACUCCAAAGGUAAAAUUGGUUGCUGAUAUGAUAUUUUUCCCAAGAAUAAGUCAGAAUAUAAUCAUUUCUCUUCCUCUGGUUUCACUUCAGUACUCUAAGAUCCUGGGACAUUGUGGCAGAGAAAUGACCACCUACCAGUCCAUCACCAGCCUGCGGGUGGCUGCAGGAAUUACAAAGGCAACACUUGGGAGAAGUCACAAGGAUGCAUGAGAUAGCCCAGGGAGAGACAGCACUAAACACCCUGGUGUAAAAUGUCGUUAAUCCCUGUGAAG